UUUCCGGUUGAUCCUGCCAGAGGUUACUGCUAUCGAGAUUCGAUUAAGCCAUGCGAGUUGAAUGUUCUUCGUGAACAUGGCGGACUGCUCAGUAACACGUGGACAACCUACCCUUGGAUCUGGGAUAAACCCGGGAAACUGGGCAUAAUACCGGAUAAGCCACAUAUGCUGGAAUGCUUUGUGGCUCAAAGCUCCGGCGUCCAAGGAUGGGUCUGCGGCCUAUCAGGGUAGUAGUGGGUGUAAUGUACCUACUAGCCUACGACGGGUACGGGUUGUGAGAGCAAGAGCCCGGAGAUGGAUUCUGAGACACGAAUCCAGGCCCUACGGGGUGCAGCAGGCGCGAAAACUUUACAAUGCGGGAAACCGCGAUAAGGGAAUCUCGAGUGCCAGCAUAUAAUGUUGGCUGUCCAGAUGCCUAAAAAGCAUUUGUUAGCAAGGGCCGGGCAAGACCGGUGCCAGCCGCCGCGGUAACACCGGCGGCCCGAGUGGUAACCGUUAUUAUUGGGUCUAAAGGGUCUGUAGUCGGCCGAAUAAGUCUCUUGGGAAACCUGGCAGCUUAACUGUCAGGCAGUCAGGGGAUACUGUUCGGCUUGGGACCGGGAGAGGUGAGAGGUACCUCGGGGGUAGGGGUGAAAUCUUGUGAUCCUCGAGGGACCACCAGUGGCGAAGGCGUCUCACCAGAACGGGUCCGACGGUAAGGGACGAAAGCUAGGGGCACGAACCGGAUUAGAUACCCGGGUAGUCCUAGCCGUAAACGAUGCUUGCUAGGUGUCAGCCACGGUGCGACCGUGGUUGGUGCCGUAGGGAAGCCGUGAAGCGAGCCACCUGGGAAGUACGGCCGCAAGGCUGAAACUUAAAGGAAUUGGCGGGGGAGCACUACAACGGGUGGAGCCUGCGGUUUAAUUGGAUUCAACGCCGGAAA
rnacentral:rRNA from 1 species